GCAUCUUUGAGUCAAAGGUGUUUUCUACACCAAGCAAGGGAAACUAGUUUAAAUUUAAAUAUUACUACUAUGUGUUGAGAUUGAAUUGUGUGAUGGUGGAAUAUGAUGCUUUAUUGUGUUGAAAUCUAAUUUAAAAUGAUGUUUCUAUAAGAUUGAAUAUGUAAUGAAGUUUAGUAUGUAUUCAGAGCUCAUUUUGCAUUGAUGGUGAUUCUGAUUAGUUAUGGGACCUAGCUAGAUUUGCUUUAGGUAUCGGUUAAAUAUUAAUGUGUGUUUUCAUCUAAAAUAUGAGUGAAAUGCCUAGGUAGAUUAGUUAGGAGCACAACUAACAGAAUUGGUUUUGCAAAAUUAUGUAGACUCGUUGUGAGAGCAUGUAUUCUAGAGAGCUCAACAUUUUUACUUGCUGGGCGAACUACCACGUGAAGAGCGCUGCUAAGAGGUAUGUUCAUUGAGCGAGUAAGAGUGGUUGAGCUAAAAUGAAAAUAUCAAAAACCCAACAGUGCAGUGUGUACUUGACUCCCUAGGUGCGAGGAUAUUCACUAGGCAAAUUUUAAAGAAUUUAUUCCAAGUAUUCUCUUGUUAGGCAAACCUGCACUUCACUAACGGGAGAGUUUUAUGUAAAAACAGAGAGCAUCAAUGGCAUAUAUUCAUAGGGCGAGUAAUAUAGUCGCCAGGGCAAGCAUCACUUCAGUAGAUACUCGCUCAGCGAGACAUUCAUUUGCUAAGCGAGCAUCUUUUUUAUGAAUAUGUAAAUCUUGUCUUUAUUUAUUUGUUGUAUGAUGUGUAUGUGAUAACAUUCCUUCUAGCUAGGUUGGGCCAAAACUAGAAGAGAUGCCAUGGAGAUGGUUGAAAUGGUGAUGGGAUGCAAAAAUUUGGUGGGGGGAGGAGCUAAGGCUCUCAACCAAAGGUACUAUAAUGUGGAAGGGAAUGAUGUUUGGUUAUGCUUAAGGAGAGGUUAGGCUAACUCUAUGAGAAGGGUGGCUAGAGAAGACAACUUAGGAUGCUCUAGUUAUGGGUGACCUAAGAUGAGUAAUAUGGCUAAAAAUGAUAGCAUAACAUUAUUCAAAUUCAAAGGUAAUUACAAGAGGGGGAGACACCUAUAUUUAUAGGCUAAGGGUGUCUCUAAUUUGUAGAAGCAAAACUUAAAAACUCAAACUUGACUAGCUUGGAGAACAAGGUGAAAAUCCUCUCUAUUAGGAGGAGAACAUAUGGCUACUACCUAUGGGAAAUCCUCUCUAAUGUGAGAGUGACACAUGGCCACUAACACAUAGGUGGGACACCCACUCCCUUAUGCACCAAGCUAGCUUGAAAACAUUAACCCCUUUGGUCAAACAACCAUGGACGUCCACUUGGGUCAAUAUUGGGCCUUGGCCAUUUGUUGACUUAAAUGGUCAAAUACCCUAUUCUACUUGGCCCAAAAAUAAACCUUACUAGGCCCAUGAUACAAAACCCAUAAUUAUUCUACUCUUUGAUGGUCGAAGAGAAGAAGAGCUUGACUUCACCUUUCAUGGUUGACUCUUCUUGGAUUUGCUUGGCUAUGCUUCUUUGGAUUAGAGCCUUGGCUAGGGGUUUGCCAUCAUCCCCUCCCUUUUAAGAAGGAUUUGACCUUAAAUCUAGAGGCUUUUCAUCUCCAUCUUGCUCCCAAUCUCCUAAAAAAGGGGUUAUAUCACACACAUGGAAUGUGUCACUCACAUCAUAUUCACAUGGCAACUCCAACCUAAAUGCAUUAUUUUUUAUUCUUUGAAGCACUCUAAAUGGUCCAUUACCACUGGUGAUUUCCCAUGUCCAUCUCCUAGGAAGACCUUGUAAGGUGGUAUUUCUUCUAUUGUCAAGCCUAAAUCAGCCACCAAGUCUACUGAAAUAAAAUUGUGGAUUGCUCUACUAUCAAUUAGAAUUAAUACCUUUUUUCCCUUCACCCACCCCUGGAGUUUCAUGGUGUUGGAUUGGGUUAGUCCCCCUACUUAGAACACAGAUAGUUCCAUAUAUUUUUGCUUCAUCUCCUCCUUUUCUUACCUCUUUCCUUCCUACCCAUCUUCAACCAUUAUUAGCACUCGUAUAUUCUUUUUUGGGCAUUUAUAGUGGAAAAUAACACUGAUUUAUUAUUCAAAUCAUUGAAAAUACAUUCUGAUACCCUCUGUUUGUAAUAAUCUAAUUCUCCUAAAAUGGGAAAUAGGGAAACUAGGAAAUCUAGAGAAAAUAAAAUAAAAUAAAAGAUUAUGUAUAUAUUUCCUCUAAUUAGGAAGAUUCUAAAGAUAUUAUCUCAAAUUACAAUAAUGUCUAGGGCUAUACGCCCCUCCACAAUGAAAUCACCUCAUCACUUCCUCCCUUCUCCUAAUGUGUUAUGGGUAAGGUAGAUUUCGUACUCCCCUACUCCUGCUUUCCCUCACUGUAUUUCCUCCCAUCUUGGAGCCAAUAGAGGUUCCUUCUCCCUCUUUCGUAGCAAUGAUAAUGUUGCUAGAGGUCCCUUGACCACUCCUUGCGCCCUUGAACGUUUUCGUUCUAGAUACUGUCCUCAUUCCUCCUUGAUACCGAAACAAUGAGUUGUUGUUUCAAUUUGUCCCUCCUCCUAUUGAUCUAGUCUCCUUCGUUACCUCUUCCACGUCCCUAGCUAUUUCCAUAGCUCUUAUUAAAUCUUUGGGGUUAUGAGGCCUGAUUUGGCUUCUAACUUCACACUGCAGCCCUACAAAGAAAUACCCUAGGAGGAGUUGUUCUUCUGACAGUUCUGAUGUUUGAGAAACCAGCAUCUCAAAUUCCUUAAUGCAUUCUUCCACUUCCCCAUUCUGUCUUAAGGCUACCAAAUUCUCAAAGACAGAAUACCUUUCUCUUCCCCUAAACCUCCUGAUCAACGCUUCUAUCAACUCCUCCCAAGAAGGAGUCUUGACCUUCUUUUUCCAGAAUCUAAACCGAAUCUAAACCAAUGGUUGGCCCCUCCUUCCAUACUAAUGAAUGCCAAGCGAAUUUUUUCUUUAAACGAAAUGUUCUGGAUUACAAAGAACUUUUCUACUCUUGUUAUCCAUCCCAUCGGAUUUGUUCCUUCAAAAGAGAGUAAUCCUACCCUUUUCAUCUAACACUUUUGCAUUUCCUCCUCUUACCCCUCAGAUUCUUCCACUGGUUCUUCCUUUCAUCCCUUUUCCCUCCAUUAACAAAGUUCUGGCUGCAUUUUGAUCCCCUCUCAUGAAUUUUAGACUUUCACAUCCUUUCUUUUAUUUCUUGAAUGUUUUCCCUUAAUUCUUGCAUAUUAUCUUUCAUUUCCGUCAUGGCUUUUCCUUGUUCACCGGCCUAUCUCUCAAAAAAGAGUAUUUACUCUCCCCUCCAUGAUCCUACCUCUCCUUGAUCCGGCAAGUCAGACCAAAUAUUAGGUUUUUGGUGACAAGAAGCCGAAAACGUUCAGAGUUUCCAUCCACAAACACCAGUAUUGAUAAUCUCAACACUAGAAAACAAUCUUAUUAUUCCAACACAAGCACACAAAAACCACUAAGGGAUAAUGUUUCCCUUCACAUAGGAUGUCACUAAUCCUAUCCAGCCUCUUCAAAUACAAAAUUCGUACCUUCUAAAAGACACCACCCCUCCUAUAUAUGGUCUUCCCCUUAAGGAGACUUACAACAACCCGAACCACCUAACCACUAACAACUUAUGAGUUGAAAAUGAAACUUAUUAUUAUUCUCAAUCAUGAAAAAUACAUUCUCAAACCUUCUAUUUGUAAUAAUCUAGUUCUU
rnacentral:lncRNA from 1 species